rnacentral:rRNA from 1 species
AUUGAACGCUGGCGGCAUGCCUUACACAUGCAAGUCGAGCGAGGAACUUCGGUUCCUAGCGGCGGACGGGUGAGUAACACGUGGGUAACCUGGCUCAUAGAGGGGGAUAGCCUUCCGAAAGGGAGAUUAAUACCGCAUAAGAAGCGAAAGUCGCAUGGCUUUAGCUUUAAAGGAGUAAUCCGCUAUGAGAUGGGCCCGCGGCGCAUUAGCUAGUUGGUGAGGUAAAGGCUCACCAAGGCGACGAUGCGUAGCCGACCUGAGAGGGUGAUCGGCCACAUUGGAACUGAGACACGGUCCAGACUCCUACGGGAGGCAGCAGUGGGGAAUAUUGCACAAUGGGCGAAAGCCUGAUGCAGCAACGCCGCGUGAGUGAUGACGGCCUUCGGGUUGUAAAGCUCUGUCUUUGGGGACGAUAAUGACGGUACCCAAGGAGGAAGCCACGGCUAACUACGUGCCAGCCGCCGCCGUAAUAC